rnacentral:ncRNA from 2 species
CUUUCUGUUUUAAGUAAAGUUAAUAAUUGGAUUAAAAUGGGAAAGAGGUUAGAUGCCUCUGCGGUCCCGCCGCCGUAAGGUUUAACAAUAAUUAAAAUUGCCACUGGGAAACUGGGAAGGCUAAUUAUUAAAUUGAACCAAGCCGGAAGACCUGCCUUUAUUUGUUAACGCCA